rnacentral:lncRNA from 1 species
UUUGGAGCAAUAUAGUAGAGAUCUUUCAAUAGACAGCCAUUAAAUUCUUACCUACACCAGUUCUAUCAUUUUUUUUGCAUUGUAUGCAAAAGAUGGCUCCUCCUCCUUUUGAAGUGUCUCUUCCAACUCUGUACGUUUUCGACAUUCAUCUCAUGUUAGAUUCCCAUGACAUGACGCCAGGAACACAAAUGUCUACACAGUGGGACAUACACACAACCCUGAAACGGUGGGACACACACAUCUAUCUAUCUAUCUAUCUAUCUAUAUAUAUAAGAAAACCCACAGGUUUGUUCACAGUGGAAUGGACUAUACGUGAAUUCCAGUCACAUUCUUCUAGUAACCCUAAAAAUAAAAAUUUAAUCACAAGUAUUGAUAUAAGACUAAUAACUUAAAGAAAAGUAUUAGAUUUAGUGUAUUUUGCAAUCGAAUACAAUGUCAGGCCAUACUCUCCACACCCACAAAGGAA